GAUGAAGAACGUAGUGAAAUGCGAUACUUGGUGUGAAUUGCAGAAUCCCGUGAACCAUCGAGUCUUUGAACGCAAGUUGCGCCUCAAGCCAUUAGGUUGAGGGCACGUCUGCCUGGGCGUCACAUAUCGUUGCCUGAUGCCAGUUUCCUCGUGAUGGGUGACUGUGCAGGGCGAAUGAUGGCUUCCCGUGAGCAUUGUUGCCUUAUGGUUGGUUGAAAAUUGAGUCCUUGGUAGGGAGCGCCGUGAUAGAUGGUGGUUGAGUGACAAACGAGACCCAAUCAUGUGAGACCCCUACCGAAUUUGGCCUUCAUGACCCACAUGCGUCUUUGGAACGCUCAUGACGAGACCUCAGGUCAGGCGGGGCUACCCGCUGAGUUUAAGCAUAUCAAUAAGCGGAGGA
rnacentral:misc_RNA from 1 species